GCUGCAACAGGUAGUAAGAGGAGAAACAUAUAGACGCAAAAAAAGUGGUGCUGCGUGCGAGCAAAAGAAUUGAAAUGAAGAAGCGCAUUAAAGAAAAAGGAGAGUGGAACAUUUAGGAGGAGAAAAUGGAGAUCAGCCCGUUUUUCCUGGGCAGCUUCGUGUCUGUCCACGGUGGUCCUCCCGCUCCUUUCACUGGAGGCAGCUGGCCUCGCCAAAAUAAAGGCGCUCUUUCAGCUCGAAGGCACAGCUGCUCUUUCACAUUAAAAGCAUGAUGGUGUUGGCUCAUUCAUGUGUCACAGCGGACGACAACUGAAUGGAGCUCACACCGAGGGCAUGAAUAGAGAUCUGUGUUGAUGUCUGUGCCCUGAAUAAUAAGAUGUGGAGGGGGGCGGGUCCAGGGGAGGCCCACGUGGUGGCCCGGGUCCACUUCUGACUGAACCCUGAACCGUUGGGGCGUCUGCCUACACAUACAGUAAACACACGCUCCUGUAUACAGUACAAUGGAUUAGCACACACGCAGAGGCCACGCUAGCUAAGAGAAAUCCUUUACUUCCUGCUCUUUGACGCUCGUGAAAAGUGAGGGCACCAAUUAAUAAUUAAACUUUAUUAAUCAUGAAAUGCUGCUCUACUAACAGAUUUAAUCAGUUUAAUGUCAGUACUGCUUGACUCUGUGUCUUUCUGCAGGUGUCGGGUGUCAGUCUCUCCAGUAACUGGCUCCACCAGCCAACCUGCUGUUCUCCACUCUCUUCCUCUCAACCCGACCAGUCGAGGCAGAUGGACGCCGGAGGUUCCUUCCAUUAAAGGAGGUUCUUCCAUUAAGAGGUUUUCCUCUCCACUGUCACAUGUGACGUAAAUAAACUCUUUAACGAUUCAA